ACAGUACAAUCUGACAGGAGAUAGAUUUAAAAUCUAUUCCGGGCUGUAUACAGCAGCAGAUGAAUUUUGAAUUUCAAACAUCUGUGGGACAGAA
rnacentral:ncRNA from 1 species